ACGGGUGAGGAAUACGUCGGAAUCUGCCUAUUUGUGGGGGAUAACGUAGGGAAACUUACGCUAAUACCGCAUACGACCUACGGGUGAAAGUGGGGGACCGCAAGGCCUCACGCAGAUAGAUGAGCCGACGUCGGAUUAGCUAGUUGGCGGGGUAAAGGCCCACCAAGGCGACGAUCCGUAGCUGGUCUGAGAGGAUGAUCAGCCACACUGGAACUGAGACACGGUCCAGACUCCUACGGGAGGCAGCAGUGGGGAAUAUUGGACAAUGGGCGCAAGCCUGAUCCAGCCAUGCCGCGUGUGUGAAGAAGGCCUUCGGGUUGUAAAGCACUUUUGUCCGGAAAGAAAAGCUUAGGGUUAAUAACCCUGAGUCAUGACGGUACCGGAAGAAUAAGCACCGGCUAACUUCGUGCCAGCAGCCGCGGUAAUACGAAGGGUGCAAGCGUUACUCGGAAUUACUGGGCGUAAAGCGUGCGUAGGUGGUUUGUUAAGUCUGAUGUGAAAGCCCUGGGCUCAACCUGGGAAUGGCAUUGGAAACUGGCUUACUAGAGUGCGGUAGAGGGUAGCGGAAUUCCCGGUGUA
rnacentral:rRNA from 1 species